UCAACUCUUCUCUAUUUUGAUCAAAACGGAGCUCCGAAAUGUAGAAGACGAUUAUCUGAUCAAAACCUAAAUGCAUGAUUCGAUUUGAUCGGAGCUUUUUUUAUCCCAAUUCUCUCUCUCUCUCUAACGGCGUGCUUCUUCUUCUUCUUCUUCUUCUUUUUCUUCUUCUCUGUUUCUUUGUCCUCGCUUCGCAUUCGGAACAGGACGACGUCGUUUGGAUUUGAAAUCGAUUUCGAGCUUGAGAAAUGUUGAAAAUGGAGCUGUCGUUCCCCGAGGAGGUGUUGGAGCACGUGUUCUCGUUCCUGCAAUUGGACGGCGACCGGAACUCGAUCUCGCUGGUUUGCAAGUCGUGGUUCGAGAUCAAGCGGUGAGAUGAAAAUUCAGAGCUUCGGUUUAUGCAUUAUUGGUAAUUUGUGAGUGCUUCUUAUCCUUUCUUCAAUCGCAUCGGAAAUUUUUGUUUUUGUUUUUACUAUUCUCGCUAUUCAUUUGAUUUUGGCGCUUGGCUUGGAGAAGUGGUGUGGACGCUAGCUAAGUGUGCUUCGUUAAUUCAAAGCAAGGAAGACGAGGUGUACAAGCGGCUACUUUGUAUGGUUGAGGAGUUGGGUCUUUGGUUUAGAAAUGUUGAAGUCGGAAUUGCAACAUGGUGGGUUAAAAUGUGGGGGUACCCUGCGAAAGCGUGCUACCAGGCUUUUUAUGCUUAAAUCUACCCCAUAGAGAAAAUUCCAAAGAAGCUGCUAGCAAAGAAAUGAGUACGUGAUGUGCUUCAUUUAACCCUUUAUAGAGCAAGUUUCUCCUUCAAUGUAUGAAUAGUGGCUGAAUUGUGUAACUAUAUAUUUGAAUCUAUAAGGUUCCUAGUUGUUGACUAUGUACUGUUGUGUACCAUUAUCCUUCGUGGAUAAUGUUGGUGGUUGUACACUUUUUUGUUUGACGUAUAAUGAAUGCAAUAUAACAAGGAUUGACAGUGA